rnacentral:rRNA from 1 species
GACGAACGCUGGCGGCGUGCCUAAUACAUGCAAGUCGAACGCAGUGGGGACGGGUGAGUAACACGUGGGUAACCUCCCAUCAGAGGGGAUAACACUUGGAAACAGGUGCUAAACCGAUACUGAUGGAUGGACCCGCGGUGCAUUAUCUAGUUGUUGAGGUAACGGCUCACCAAGGCAACGCUGCAUAGCCGACCUGAGAUGGUGAUCGGCCACACUGGGACUGGUACACGGCCCAUACUCCUACGGGAGGCAGCAGUGGGGAAUAUUGCACAAUGGGCGCAAGCCUGAUGCAGCCAUGCCGCGUGUAUGAAGAAGGCCCUAGGGUUGUAAAGUACUUUCAGUCGGGAGGCGUUACCGACAGAAGAAGCACCGGCUAACUCCGUGCCAGCCGCCGCGGUAAUAC